ensembl:misc_RNA Metazoa_SRP Metazoan signal recognition particle RNA
GGCGGGCAUGGUGGCGCAUGCCUGUAGUCCCAGCUACUCAGGAGGCUGAGGUGGGCAGAUUGAUUGAGCCCAGGAGUUCUGGGCUGUAGUGCACUAUGCCAAUCGGGUGGGUGUCUGCACUAAGUUCUGCAUCAAUAUGGUGACCUCCUGAAAGCAGGGGACCACCAGGUUGCCUAAGGAGGUGUGAAGUGGCCCAGGACAGAAACUGAGCAGGUCAAAAUUCCCAAGCUGAUCAGUAAUGGGAUCACACUUGUGAAUAGCCACUGCACUCCAGCCUGGGCAACAUAGCAAGACCCUGUCUCAA